AUCCGGCUGACGAAUCCCAAAUAGGACGAAACGCGCAUCCUGGAU
rnacentral:hammerhead_ribozyme from 1 species